rnacentral:rRNA from 1 species
GAUGAACGCUGGCGGCGUGCCUAAUACAUGCAAGUCGAGCGAACGGACGAGAAGCUUGCUUUUCUGAUGUUAGCGGCGGACGGGUGAGUAACACGUGGAUAACCUACCUAUAAGACUGGGAUAACUUCGGGAAACCGGAGCUAAUACCGGAUAAUAUUUUGAACCGCAUGGUUCAAAAGUGAAAGACGGUCUUGCUGUCACUUAUAGAUGGAUCCGCGCUGCAUUAGCUAGUUGGUAAGGUAACGGCUUGCCAAGGCAACGAUGCAUAGCCGACCUGAGAGGGUGAUCGGCCACACUGGAACUGAGACACGGUCCAGACUCCUACGGGAGGCAGCAGUAGGGAAUCCUCCGCAAUGGGCGAAAGCCUGACGGAGCAACGCCGCGUGAGUGAUGAAGGUCUUCGGAUCGUAAAACUCUGUUAUUAGGGAAGAACAUAUGUGUAAGUAACUGUGCACAUCUUGACGGUACCUAAUCAGAAAGCCACGGCUAACUACGUG